AGAGUGAACGCUGGCAGUAGGCCUAACACAUGCAAGUCGAACGGCAGCACGGUAAGAGCUUGCUCUUAUGGGUGGCGAGUGGCGGACGGGUGAGGAAUACAUCGGAAUCUACCUUUUGGUGGGGGAUAACGUAGGGAAACUUACGCUAAUACCGCAUACGCCCUUCGGGGGAAAGCCGGGGACCAGGCAAGUGGCCUGGCGCUGAUAGAUGAGCCGAUGUCGGAUUAGCUAGUUGGUGAGGUAAUGGACUCACCAAGGCGACGAUCCGUAGCUGGUCUGAGAGGAUGAUCAGCCACGACUGGAACU
rnacentral:rRNA from 1 species